CCUACGGGUGGCAGCAGUGAGGAAUAUUGGUCAAUGGGCGCGAGCCUGAACCAGCCAAGCAGCGUGAAUGAUGACUGCCCUACGGGUUGUAAACUUCUUUUAUAAAGGAAUAAAGUGAGGCACGUGUGCCUUUUUGUAUGUACUUUAUGAAUAAGGAUCGGCUAACCUCGUGCCAGCCGCCGCGGUAAUACGGAGGGUCCGGGCGUUAUCCGGAUUUAUGGGGUUUAAAGGGAGCGUAGAUGGGUUGUUAAGUUAGUUGUGAAAGUUUGCGGCUCAACCGUAAAAUUGCAAUUGAUACUGGCAGUCUUGAGUACAGUUGAGGUAGGUGGAAUGCGUGGUGUAGCGGUGAAAUGCGUAGAUAUCACGAAGAACUCCGAUUGCGAAGGCAGCUUACUAAACUGCCACUGACAUUGAUGCGCGAAAGUGUGGGUAUCAAACAGGAUUAGAUACCCCAGUAGUC
rnacentral:rRNA from 1 species